CCAUACAUUACAGUUAGCCAGUAGCUGCUAGUGUGCUCAAUGUGUGGCUGCACUACUGCUCUUAUUGGAGUAGUUUCUCAGUUAUAGUGGCAUUUUGCAACACAACACAGUCUUGUUUAGAUAUGUUGAGAUGCUAUAUAUAGAUAUAGAUAUAAAAGACAAAGCAGACUUAAUUUGACAGAUCAUUGCUUGGAAAAACAUCAACCAACACCUGAGUAUGGAACAGAUUGUUUUCCCUUCUAUUGCCUGUGGGAGAGGCUUGCAUCCAGAUUGUCCUCCAAAAGGAGAUCCAAAUGAAGAUGAGGCAGAGACCUGUGACUGACUGGAGAGAUGGAGAGAGAGAGGGAAAAGCAGAGUGAAAACACAGUAAAUACUCUCCCUCCUAACACCAAUGACCUCCACUUUCCACGGGGAAUCAGGCAGGGCUGAGGGGGAAAAUGAAAAAAGAGAAGAGCAAGGAUAUGGCGGUGUGUGAGACACAGGCGUAUAUAUAUGUGUGUGUGUGUGUGUGGCUAGAAUGUGAAUGAGCAUGACACAGGGUGUGAGAAAUGAGGAUGUUUCACACAAUGACUACAAAUGUGCCCAUUCAUUAUUCUUCCACUUCAUCCAUUUGCUCAGUGAGCGCUGUUUGUACGUGGACCUGUUUACCCCUGUGAUGCCUUCUCAGCCUUCACAUCUGUGGACUUCUCAACACAGAUGUGUCUGCAGUGCAAUCAAUGAGCUCCUCAGUCUCUACAACCUGACCUGUCAAACAUGCUGACGUUAACAUGACAUGAGUGCAUGUUUGAGUGGCCAGACAGCAUGAACUGUACAGUACAUUUUGGCUGUGAAAGUUGCUGUUUAGUUGCAAAAUCUAGUAUUUGCUCCCUGCAGGCAUUGGGUUUACAUCUGACCUUUAAACAUGAACACCUCCGAGCUGCUGAAUUUACACUUCACUU